rnacentral:rRNA from 1 species
UUAAGCCAUGCAAGUCGAACGAGUUUAGGCUCGUGGCGUACGGCCCAAUAACACGUGGAUAACCUACCCUUAGGACCGGGAUAACCUUGGGAAACUGAGGAUAAUACUGGAUAGGCAAUUAUUUCUGCAAUGGUUUUUUGUUUAAAUGUUUUUUCGCCUAAGGAUGGGUCUGCGGCCGAUUAGGUAGUUGGUUAGGUAAAGGCUUACCAAGCCGUUGAUCGGUACGGGUUGUGAGAGCAAGAGCCCGGAGAUGGAACCUGAGACAAGGUUCCAGGCCCUACGGGGUGCAGCAGGCGCGAAACCUCCGCAAUGUGAGAAAUCGCGACGGGGGGAUCCCAAGUGCCAUUCUUAACGGGAUGGCUUUUCAUUAGUGUAAAGAGCUUUUGGAAUAAGGGCUGGGCAGGACCGGUGCCAGCCGCCGCGGUAA